GAUGAAGAACGUAGCGAAAUGCGAUAAGUAGUGUGAAUUGCAGAAUUCAGUGAAUCAUCGAAUCUUUGAACGCACAUUGCGCCCUUUGGUAUUCCGAAGGGCAUGCCUGUUCGAGCGUCAUUAUCAACCCUCAAGCCCGGCUUGCCGUUGGGUCCCGUAGGGGUGCGAAUCUCAACGGACCUCAAAGAUAGUGGCAGAGCCCGUACGGACCCUGGAUGCAGCGAGCUUUCUGGCACGCAUCACAGCAAUCCGCCGGCUCGGUCUUAACCGCCAAUUUUUUUUCACUGGUUGACCUCGGAUCAGGUAGGGAUACCCGCUGAACUUAAGCAUAUCAAUAAGCGGAGGA
rnacentral:misc_RNA from 1 species